rnacentral:rRNA from 1 species
UACGUAGGGGGGCUAGCGUUGUCCGGAAUCAUUGGGCGUAAAGAGCGUGUAGGCGGUCCGGUAAGUCCGCUGUGAAAGUCGGGGGCUCAACCCUCGAAUGCCGGUGGAUACUGUCGGGCUAGAGUACGGAAGAGGCGAGUGGAAUUCCUGGUGUAGCGGUGAAAUGCGCAGAUAUCAGGAAGAACACCCGUGGCGAAGGCGGCUCUCUGGGGACGGUACUGACGCUGAGACGCGAAAGCGUGGGGAGCAAACAGG